rnacentral:lncRNA from 1 species
UUUGGCUAUAAAUAUAAGUGCAGGUGCGGUGGAGCCUGCCAAGCCGGAGCUGUUCAGGUUGCCAUGGAUCGUGGACCUCCUCUCCGGUGCGUGGCUGGGAAGCCCCUGCCGGAAGAACGGGAGGUGCGCCCCUCGCGACUUCCGCCAACUAGCCGUUUCAUCUGGGAUCAACGGGGAGAUUCUCCCCGGUGGAACUCCGCUCUAGGCGUUUCAUCCGGGAUCACAUCCUCCCUCUUUUCCGUCCCACCUCCUGAUUGAGCUCUGCGCCAGACGCUUCAUCC